UGGGGAAUUUUGGACAAUGGGCGAAAGCCUGAUCCAGCAAUGCCGCGUGUGUGAAGAAGGCCUUCGGGUUGUAAAGCACUUUUGUCCGGAAAGAAAUCCUUGGCUCUAAUACAGUCGGGGGAUGACGGUACCGGAAGAAUAAGCACCGGCUAACUACGUGCCAGCAGCCGCGGUAAUACGUAGGGUGCAAGCGUUAAUCGGAAUUACUGGGCGUAAAGCGUGCGCAGGCGGUUUGCUAAGACCGAUGUGAAAUCCCCGGGCUCAACCUGGGAACUGCAUUGGUGACUGGCAGGCUAGAGUAUGGCAGAGGGGGGUAGAAUUCCACGUGUAGCAGUGAAAUGCGUAGAGAUGUGGAGGAAUACCGAUGGCGAAGGCAGCCCCCUGGGCCAAUACUGACGCUCAUGCACGAAAAGCGUGGGGAGCAAAACAGGAUUAGAUACCCUGGUAGUCCACGCCCUAAAACGAUGUCAACUAGUUGUUGGGGAUUCAUUUCCUUAGUAACGUAGCUAACGCGUGAAGUUGACCGCCUGGGGAGUACGGUCGCAAGAUUAAAACUUAAAGGAAUUGACGGGGUCAUAGCUG
rnacentral:rRNA from 1 species